rnacentral:rRNA from 1 species
AUUGAACGCUGGCUGCAUGCCUUACACAUGCAAGUCGAACGGUAACAGGUCUUCGGAUGCUGACGAGUGGCGAACGGGUGAGGAAUACAUCGGAACGUGCCUAGUAGUGGGGGAUAACUACUCGAAAGAGUGGCUAAUACCGCAUGAGAUCUACGGAUGAAAGCAGGGGAUCGCAAGACCUUGUGCUACUAGAGCGGCCGAUGGCAGAUUAGGUAGUUGGUGGGAUAAAAGCUUACCAAGCCGACGAUCUGUAGCUGGUCUGGGAGGACGAUCAGCCACACUGGGACUGAGACACGGCCCAGACUCCUACGGGAGGCAGCAGUGGGGAAUUUUGGACAAUGGGCGCAAGCCUGAUCCAGCAAUGCCGCGUGCAGGAUGAAGGCCUUCGGGUUGUAAACUGCUUUUGUACGGAACGAAAAGCCCUGGGUUAAUACCCUGGGGUCAUGACGGUACCGUAAGAAUAAGCACCGGCUAACUACGUGCCAGCCGCCGCGGUAACAC